GACGAACGCUGGCGGCGUGCCUAAUACAUGCAAGUCGAACGCUUCUUUCCUCCCGAGUGCUUGCACUCAAUUGGAAAGAGGAGUGGCGGACGGGUGAGUAACACGUGGGUAACCUACCCAUCAGAGGGGGAUAACACUUGGAAACAGGUGCUAAUACCGCAUAACAGUUUAUGCCGCAUGGCAUAAGACUGAAAGGCGCUUUCGGGUGUCGCUGAUGGAUGGACCCGCGGUGCAUUAGCUAGUUGGUGAGGUAACGGCUCACCAAGGCCACGAUGCAUAGCCGACCUGAGAGGGUGAUCGGCCACACUGGGACUGAGACACGGCCCAGACUCCUACGGGAGGCAGCAGUAGGGAAUCUUCGGCAAUGGACGAAAGUCUGACCGAGCAACGCCGCGUGAGUGAAGAAGGUUUUCGGAUCGUAAAACUCUGUUGUUAGAGAAGAACAAGGACGUUAGUAACUGAACGUCCCCUGACGGUAUCUAACCAGAAAGCCACGGCUAACUACGUG
rnacentral:rRNA from 1 species